rnacentral:lncRNA from 1 species
AGAAACAGGCAGCCUGACUAGAGAACAAACUACCAAUUAACGAGCGAGGAAACAGGGCCAGAGAAUUGGAACAAAAUACAAGGCUGCCUCUGAAAGGAAUAUCUUUGUGCUGAUGUGUCCAUCAAGAGAACAUACACAGAAGUGACACUUGCCAGUAAUUUGCAAGCAGAUGGAACUUCAAUAUGGCAAUAGAGAAAGAAUCAAUUAGACCAGAGUCUCCUCAGGAAGACUUUCUAUAGAUAUCUGGUGAGCAUCUGCUAGAUGCCAGGGUUGGGGAGAGUCAAGUUGAAGCAAGCAUGAACCCUCAAGGACCUACCAUUUCAAGGCAAGAAAUAGAUACAAAUACAGAAAAUAUUUACUGGAUAGCUACUAGACAUAAGGAUGCAGAAAUGAAUUAGAAAAAUUCCUCGCCCUUGUUCAAAGCUAUGCUGGCUCUUAGAACAUCUGAGCCCCCACUGUUUCAUCUUUAGAGGAUCCCAGCUGCUGGGGUGUGAGGCCAGUGCUGGAGCCAGCAGUCUCUGACCCAGAAGGGACCUGAGGUGCUAAAGAAAAGGGUACAAGCUGGAAAAGGGGAAAAUGAAUCAUGCUACAGGCCAAGUGUCCAUCACUGAUUCCCAGAGAUGCCCUUUGUGUGGUAGGCACUUCCAUGUGGACUCGCUACAGAGGUCAUAAGACCCUAAUUCCAGAGGGCCCUACCCUAUAACCAGAAGGAAGAACUAUUGCACAGAGAAUCUAAGAAGAAUCUAGACAGACAGCCCUUGCUGGAUUUCUCCACUCUGUUAGCAUUCGAUCAUUUGCCUUUUGUCCAGUCAUAUUUCUGCAUGGCUGUCCAUACUUUGUUGAACCUAAGCACAAAAUGGAAAGUUUUCCCUGUAUCUUUGGGUCGUCAUUCUGAAGGCUCCCAUGUUAUGUAAAACUAUGAUCAAAUAAAUAUGCAUGCCUUUUCUCCUAUAA